AAUCAGACUUUUCUAAAAGUCAUAAACAUUGAUUAGGAGGAAACCU
rfam:Astyanax mexicanus Tnplaced_Scaffold_5067, whole genome shotgun sequence.